rnacentral:rRNA from 1 species
GACGAACGCUGGCGGCGUGCCUAAUACAUGCAAGUCGAACGCAGUGGGGACGGGUGAGUAACACGUGGGUAACAUCCCAGAAGAGGGGAUAACACUUGGAAACAGGUGCUAAACCGAUACUGAUGGAUGGACCAGCGUUUCAUUAGCUAGUUGGUGAGGUAACGGCUCACCAAGGACACGAUGCAGAGGCAACAUGACAGGGGGACCGGCCAACCUGGGAAUGUGACACGGCCCAUACUCCUACGGGAGGCAGCAGUAGGGAAUCUUCGGCAAUGGACGAAAUUCUGACCGAGCAACGCCGCGUGAGUGAAGAGGUUUUUCGGAUCGUAAAACUCUGUUGUUAGAGAAGCGGUAUCUAACCAGAAAGCCACGGCUAACUACGUGCCAGCCGCCGCGGUAAUUC